rnacentral:lncRNA from 1 species
GGAGGAUAUCCAGCAGGUUGGUGUCCACCAGGAGGAGGAUAUCCUGCUGGUGGGUAACCUUGUUGAGGUGGAUAACCUUGUGGAGGAAAUCCUCCAGGUGGACGAUGGUGCCCUGCAGCAAAUCCAGCAAGUUGGGAAAGCAGCCCUUUGUCAGAAGAUUCACCUUGGUGCUUGUCUUUACCCAUUUUUCUUCAACUAAAGGCAAACACUACAUAUUCAAAAACACAACAGUUAAUAACACCAACCCAAGACUGUUAUCCCCCAAAACAACUCAAGACCAGCAUAAGUUAAAAUCCUUGAGAAAGGACACAAAAGUAAUCAACUUGAAUUACAUGAAUGAAACAUGCACUUCUGCCCCACAACUGAUUAAGUUUUAAUGUAACAAAAUAUGAAAAUGGAUGUAGAAAUAUUUAAUAAGCACUAGAAGUGUUCCCUUUUAUUAACUUUCACUUGAUGUUUUCCAGUAAUAGUUCUCAUUCCCAUUGUAUUUUUUGUCUUACCCACAACACUCACCAUCUAGAUAUUAGAGCUAAAGCAUAUUUCAAAAUAUCAAUCUCAAAUAAUAAUUUAUCUCAACCAUUAAAUCUCUAAUAGUUUUUGCAAGUAUUAAAACUUUUCUUCCCAAAAUUAAGAUGUACGAUGAAGAGGAGUCACAUGCACUGAGCCAAGAGCCUUUGGCUCAACUGACAUUCCUUCCAUUAGAAGAGACCCUCUACACCCAUUCAAUUCCUCAUUUACAAAGGAUAAUAGCUCUUACCAAAAGAUUUUUUAAAAACAAAGCCACGUGCUUUGAGUGCUAGGAUAAGGAAAGGUAAUCGUACCAUGGAACAAAUGCAUUACAUCUGAAAACAUUCCCCAAAUAAAAUACCUUCAAAAGCUAGAUUCAAUCACUCGAAUUGUGUUUUUACAAAAGCACCAGCAUGAAGGGGAAAAAGAAAUUAACCCGAUCUAAACACAAUAUUCCUUCCGAAAGGAAAUUGAAGAGAGUUAACAAUAUCUUCCAAAACGUCCAACACUAUACAAGUAUCUGGCUGGCAUGCCUGCAUGCACAGCUGAGAUGGUGAUGGUGGCAUUGCUACUAAUAGGACUAUCCAGAGAAAGAAUCACAUCAAUACAUGCUCUCUCUCCGAUGUUAAAGUGCUCAUAACUCCAUUAUUUUCGUGAUCACAUAUAUUUGUGUCUCGAUGUCACUAACAACAACAAGUCUGAAUUCUCUCACCAAUCAAGAAACACCCAAAUAUAUAUAUAUAUAUAUAUAUAUAUAUAUAUAUAAAUUGGAAAACCAGAAAUGAAAAAGAAAAUUCCUUCAUCCAAUCAUCACCCAAAUCAAUAUUCAGAAAAUCAUACAUGCUAUCAGCAACAGCCCAUAUUGCAAAACCACAACUUAGAUAGGUGAAACAAAAAGAGAUGGUAAAUGAAAAAUUACUCACGAUUAAGUUAUGAACAAAUCACCGGAUUUAACCAGGAAAGAACAACUGAAACUUUUGAUUCUAGGAAAAUAAUUGUUUACAAAAAGGAUUAACGAGAAAUAAAAAGAUCAGACAAGAUCAUAUAAGAAACAGAGAAGAUAUUUUGAUUUUGACAACAAGAUAUUGAUCAAUAACCAAUCAACAUAACAGAUAAAAAUCAAGAAAUCAUGAGAGAGAAAAAAUUCAACCAAAACAAAAUCCAGAAGGAGCCAAAAAAGUAGUUACCGAUUAGAUUGGAGACGAGGGUGUAGGGAUUAAAACUGGGAAGGAGGGUUUGUGAAUUAGGAAGCGAAGAUUCAGACUUUUAUGAGCUUUUCAAUUUUGUUCCUUUUCAACAGAAAGGCGUGAAUUUAACGUCUUUAUCGGUUUGGAAAACACGCGUUCUUUUAACGCGUCUGCUUUAUACCCAUCUAUUGUUUUU